CUGAUCAAAUUUAAUUAAAAUAAUCACACGCGAAGAUAGAAUCAGUGUUUGUUCGCCGAUUAUAAUUUAUACGGACGCGUUAUUAAUUUCUUAUUUUUAUUUUUUUUUUUUUUUACAAAUAUUCGUUUUCGGUACAGGAUAGAAUCAGUGCUUCUCUCAAGAGAAUACGGCGAUCAUCCACCACGCGAAGAGAUGCUGAUGAUCUUUAUGAAGAUUUUUCUUGAACUUUAAAAAAUAUUUGUGACCACGCGCAAUGUGGUUAUUAGAAUCAGUGUUUGAUUCGUAACAAUAUUUUAAAUAGAUUUUUAGAGGACAAUAGUUUUAAUUAAGUUAAGCUUUAAUUAUAAUAGUUAUACGCGAAAUUAGAAUCAGUGCUUGUUCGCCGACUACAGAAUAUAUACGAACGCGUUAAUAGUUUCUUAUUUUUAUUUUUUUAUUUUAAAUAUUCGUUUUCGGUACAGAGUAGAGUCAGUGCUUCUCUCAAGAGUAUAAGGUGAUCAUCCAUCACGCGAAGAGAUUUCUUCCAUUCUUCUACCUGAUGGCAGCCUUAUUCUCGAUGACUUCUGGGCCACAAUAAGAGAAGUGAAGGCGUUCGUCGCAUCAUAUGGUGAGUCGCAUGCUUUUUGGUUCCUCCGAUCACUCAACCAUGUCGUAGGAUGAAAGAUCCGAAUCGACACGAGUGACUGGUUGUAUACGUAGAAUUUUACACGAGCACAAUGACCGCGAAUAUUUAUUUAUAAUAUUCGUGAGUAGUAACAAUUUUUUUUUUUGUUUUUUAUUAGUUCAGGCUAGGGUCUUCUUGUGCUUCGCGUUUUUGAUUAAUAAAAAUAUCAAUUUAUUUUUUCUAAAAAAUCUCUAAAAAUAUCUCUAAAAAUAACAAUUUAUUAAUUUUCUAAUGUCAAAACAUAUAAUAACUAUUGUAUUAUAUAUAUGUAGUUCAAUAUAAUAACUAGUUUGAAUUUCUAUGAUUCAAAAUUCUUCAGAAUAAUAUUUCAAGUUACUUGAUCAAUUUGAUUAUUGUGAUAUUUUCAUAUAAUAUAAUAACAAUAUGACUUAUAAUACCUGUAGAUAGUAAAAUUUAAUUUUCUUCGUCCAAAUAUAAAUUAAAUUUUGUGCAAGAAGACAUUUCGCGACAGGCAGAUUUUAGAAUCAGAACAAUAAAUUUUGAAUAUUAUUCUUAUGAUUUUGAAAAUAUGUUCUGAUGAAGGAAUCGCCUGAGGGUAUUUUUAUUAAUAUUUAUUAAUAUAUUAAAUUACAAUAAAUUCUUUUUUAAAUUUAAAUUCAAAAAUUCUUUAACUUCAAUAUUAAAAAUUUAAUAUACUAAAAUUUCAACUUAUUCAUAAUUAUUCAUAAUUUAUUAAUAAAACAAAAUAAAAAAUAGAGUUAUAAAUAAUUUGAAAUAUAAUGCAAAUAGAAAAAAUAUUAGCCCGUUAGAUGAAUUUAUUAAUAACUUUUUUAGCUCAGGAUUUUCAGAUUUAACCCUUUCCAUGUUCAUUGUCAGGAACUCACUCACGUGCCCAGGUGCUACUUGAGUGAGGGAGAGACAAUGGAUAUGAUGACUUUAGUUCAUAAGCUAAUAGAAAUUUUUUAGCGAUUGACGAUGCGUUAGUGUAUCGUGCACGAUGUACUUUCCACAUUGUGUGUGUAUGGUUAGGCUGUGGAAUUGCGUCGUUUCAUUUAUCAUAUUAUUUCAUUCAUUAUUCAAUCACAAUUUACAAUCAUAUUCGCAAUUAAAUAUUGUGAAUAAUUAAUAAAUAAUUAUUAAGCAAGCAUUAUUAAUUUUAUUAAUCAAAAAUUAUAAUAAUGAUACAAUUUUGGUUCACAACCAUUUAAUCUAGUGGUUAAUAUUUUAGAAAACAUUACAUAUUCAUAAAUAUUCACAAUUAAAAUGUAAAUAUACACGUUUUUGUCACGUUUCACGCAAUGGUCGCUAACCAUCGUCAGUCGAUUUCAGGAAAAUGGUACGUAAAGUUAGAGUGUGCGAGUUGUGUGCCAAGCUCGGGUGUCGGAGGCGUCCCGGGACGCUUUCCCUAGUGUAGGCUUUUGCGCCCGGGUGUUAUGUGUGAGAAUCGUGGAAUGAAUGUGUUGGUAUGUCUGUUUUGCCAUAUUUUUUAAAUAUAGGGCUAGGUAGGAUAGGUAGUAUACUUUGGUAUGUCUGUUUAAUUAUAAGUAGGUAGGGCCGGGCAGGUUGUCACAGUCUCUGAUCGGGUAGGCGCGUUUUCGCGUGACAAUCUGUUUCAGGAAAUAAAAUUUGAGAAAUCGAGGGCAAAGCUGAGUCGAAUAGGCAAUGCUACUCGUCUCUGGCUUUGCUUAUCGAUUUUUCGAAUUUCGUGGUCGCGGUCGCGAUUUGCUUUCGAAACGAACGUUGCGCUCGAGAUUCUGUACAUGUACGAAGAACGAUCAUUGCGAUCGUUGGUCGUCCAUGCACUUAGCUUUCGCGAUUUAGUCCAUUUUUUUCUUUUUUCUUUGAUUUGCGAUUAGUGAAUUUCGAGCCUAGAUUUAAGUUUCAGCGGGCAUUGCGCUCGAAGAAAGAAGACCGAAGAGGCCCGACAAAUUGUCACGAAGAGGGCUGCA